GAAUACAGUGUCUCAAACCCUGUCAGCAGAGGCUAUUAUCAAAAAGACAACAAGUGUAGGGUGGACCUGGCUCAGCCUGUGGAAUAUGUUCACCACCCACAAGAGAGAAGCAUUCAGAUCCUAGAAGGAUGGCAAUCAAUGCUGGACAGGUUGAAAACACCCAGCGUCUCCUGUGCCAGCCUGAGCCAGGGAGGAGCCAAAGCUACAAGAGCCUUGUCGCACACUGGGACGGCCACGCACCCAGGACCCAGUCUUCUAAGCCUUAUACGCUUCCAGUAAAAAGCAAAGGAAGAGCUGAGGCCAUAUGCUAGCUAUGUGAAGCACAGCAUUGUGGCACUCUUUUGUUUUCCAUAGCUGGAGAAGGCUCUUCCAGUUCAAUGAAGUUAAAUACAAAUAGCCAUCGACUGCUGCAAUCAUCAAAAUAUUUCUGCGACUCAUGUGAUAAAUGAGAAAAAUCCACUGAAAAGUCAACUUUACCCUGAAGUCAGAUUGUAAUCACAUCCUUGAGUUCUGAAACCCACUGACACAGUUUCCUACAGAGAGUACGUUCCUUUUUCUCCGCAGAGGCUACAUGAUGACCCCGAAGCAGAGCAUCUGGCCUGUGGAUUAUCUGAGAUCAGCUUUUCACACAGGCUGGUGUCCUGUCAACAAUCAGCACAGCUCUUGUCUCUCCCACUGAGUUGGCCUCAGAUAAAUGCCGACUCCCUGAUCUGUGAACCCAGAUGCGAAGCGACCGAGUCAUCUGACCAGCUUAAAAGACAUGCCACACUCUUCCUUUAAACACGGAUCCCCAAGGCCCUUAAAUGCAUGGAGAUGCUUUUCUGCAAUAAGAGGACUGGUACCCUCUUUAUCGCUGAGAACAUUCUAACGCCCUGAUGGCCUGCCAGUAAGUAGGGAUUUCUGAAGUAGGCUUUGCAGUCAGAGAAGAAAGAUCUCAGAUGCCCCAUGGAGUAUGUAAAACUCAGGACAGCAUGCAGAGUUUUCCCUAACUUUGUGAUACCUUGAGCUUUCUCCCCCUCAAGCCGCUGCAUCUCCUGCUGGUCCACGUCCCAGUAACAGCACCUGUCACAUGACAAGCAUGAGGACACAGAGGUAAACCAGAAGAGGCGCCUCUGGCAAGACGCCAUCGUGAGCUCAAGUUCCGAGCUCUUCAAGUCUACUCAUAGCACAGCAACGGUGUGUGAAUCACUUUUUUUGUACAUACUUAAAAUAAAAACACACUGAAGUUUCAAAUAAAUAUUUCCAUGGGAGAGAAACACACCAUAUUGAACAGGUCAAAGAUGUGGGCUUCUGGGUCAAGAAGGCAGAGAGAUGCCCAAAGUUCGAUUCCUCUGGUUAACCGGGAAUAAAGCCUUUUAGGCGCGACACCAGGACCUAAAUCAGGAUCAAUGUCUGGAGCCACAGGUGGUGCUGACCUUCCUCAGUUAUAAAAAGAAGCAGGGGAGUUCCACUCAUGGUGCAGAAGAAACGAAUCUGACCAGGAACUAUGAGGUUACAGGUUCGAUCCCUGGCUUCGCUCAGUGGGUUAUGGAUCUGGUGUUGCCAUGAGCUGCGGUGUAGGUUGCAGAUGCAGCUUGGAUCUGCUGUUGAUGUGGCUGUGGCAUAGGCCAGCAGCUGUAGCUCCGAUUCGACCCCUAGCCUGGGAACCUCCAUAUGCCAUGGGUGCGGCCUUAAAAAGCAAAAUAAAUAAAUAAAUAAAUAAAUAAAUAUUUUAAAAAA
rnacentral:lncRNA from 1 species